rnacentral:rRNA from 1 species
CCUACGGGAGGCAGCAGUGAGGAAUAUUGGUCAAUGGGCGAGAGCCUGAACCAGCCAAGUAGCGUGAAGGAUGACUGCCCUACGGGUUGUAAACUUCUUUUAUCAAGGAAUAAAGUGAGGCACGUGUGCCUUUUUGUGUGUACUUUAUGAAUAAGGAUCGGCUAACUCCGUGCCAGCAGCCGCGGUAAUACGGAGGAUUCGAGCGUUAUCCGGAUUUAUUGGGUUUAAAGGGAGCGUAGAUGGGUUGUUAAGUCAGUGGUGAAAGUUUGGGGCUCAACCGUAAAAGUGCAAUGGAAACUGGCAGUCUUGAGAAAAGGUGAGGUAGGCGGAAUUCGUGGUGUAGCGGUGAAAUGCUUAGAGAUCACGAAGAACUCCGAUUGCGAAGGCAGCUUACGAAACGGCCACUGACAUUGAUGCUCGAAAGUGUGGGUAUCAAACAGGAUUAGAUACCCGUGUAGUC